rnacentral:rRNA from 1 species
UACGUAGGGGGCUAGCGUUGUCCGGAAUCAUUGGGCGUAAAGCGCGUGUAGGCGGUUCGGUAAGUCCGCUGUGAAAGUCGGGGGCUCAACCCUCGAAUGCCGGUGGAUACUGUCGAACUAGAGUGCGGAAGAGGCGAGUGGAAUUCCUGGUGUAGCGGUGAAAUGCGCAGAUAUCAGGAGGAACACCGGUGGCGAAGGCGGGAUCCUGGGCCGAUACUGACGCUGAGGAGCGAAAGCGUGGGGAGCGAACAGG